rnacentral:rRNA from 1 species
UACAGAGGUCUCAAGCGUUGUUCGGAUUCAUUGGGCGUAAAGCGCGCGUAGGUGGCCCCGUAAGUCCGCUGUGAAAGUCAAAGGCUCAACCUUUGAAAGCCGGUGGAUACUGUGGGACUAGAGUACGGAAGAGGCGAGUGGAAUUCCUGGUGUAGCGGUGGAAUGCGCAGAUAUCAGGAGGAACACCAAUAGCGAAGGCAGCUCGCUGGGACGUUACUGACACUGAGGCGCGAAAGCGUGGGGAGCGAACAGG